rnacentral:rRNA from 1 species
UACAGAGGUCCCAAGCGUUGUUCGGAUUCACUGGGCGUAAAGGGUGCGUAGGCGGUCGGGUAAGUCUGAUGUGAAAUCUCACAGCUUAACUGUGAAACUGCAUUGGAUACUAUCCGGCUCGAGGAAUGGAGGGGAGACUGGAAUACUUGGUGUAGCAGUGAAAUGCGUAGAUAUUCGGAAGAACACCAGUGGCGAAGGCGACUACCUGGUCUGGCAUUGACGCUCAUGUGCGAAAGCGUGGGGAGCAAACAGG